rnacentral:rRNA from 1 species
UACGGAGGGUGCGAGCGUUGUCCGGAAUCAUUGGGCGUAAAGGGCGCGUAGGUGGCGCGGUCAGUUCGUGGUGAAAGCGCGGGGCUCAACCCCGCGUCGGCCAUGAAUACUGCUGGGCUGGAGCACUGUAGAGGCAGGCGGAAUUCCGGGUGUAGCGGUGGAAUGCGUAGAGAUCCGGAAGAACACCAGUGGCGAAGGCGGUCUGCUGGGGCCGUGGGACAGCAAUGUCCUUAUAGCUGACACUGAGGCGCGACAGCGUGGGGGAGCAAACAGG